AUUAUCUCAAGCUGGAUAGUAAUGGUUACUAUUUAUGGUCAGUUAGUCAAUCAAAUUUCAGACUUAGUCGACCCACUGAAGUGAGUUGACUCAGUUCAGGGAUGAGCUGACCUAGUUUUUAGAAUAAAAAAUUUUACAUAAAAAUGAUAUAAAAUUAUUUUAUUUUAAUUAAUAACCUUAACCCAUAUUAAUACUAUACUUAAUU
rnacentral:lncRNA from 1 species